rnacentral:rRNA from 1 species
CGCAAUGGACGAAGUCUGACGCAGCAACGCCGCGUGAGGGAUGAAGGCCUUCGGGUGUAAACCUCUUUAUCAGGGAAGAUGAUGACGGUACCUGAUGAAUAAGUCACGGCUAACUACGUGCCAGCAGCCGCGGUAAUACGUAGGUGACAAGCGUUGUCCGGAUUUACUGGGCGUAAAGAGCGCGCAGGCGGUCGUUCAAGUCGAGUGUGAAAGCCCCCGGCUCAACUGGGGAGGGUCAUUCGAUACUGAUCGACUCGAAGGCAGGAGAGGGUAGUGGAAUUCCCGGUGUAGUGGUGAAAUGCGUAGAUAUCGGGAGGAACACCAGUGGCGAAGGCGACUACCUGGCCUGUUCUUGACGCUGAGGCGCGAAAGCUAGGGGAGCAAACGGGAUUAGAUACCCCGGUAGUCCUAGCCGUAAACGAUGGACACUAGGUGUUGGUGGUAUCAACCCCGCCAGUGCCGAAGCUAACGCAUUAAGUGUCCCGCCUGGGGAGUACGGCCGCAAGGCUA